rnacentral:rRNA from 1 species
GGGGGAGCUCUUGGGUUGUAACCUCUUUUCUCAGGGAAGAAGUUCUGACGGUACCUGAGGAAUAAGCAUCGGCUAACUCCGUGCCAGCAGCCGCGGUAAUACGGAGGAUGCAAGCGUUAUCCGGAAUUAUUGGGCGUAAAGCGUCCGCAGGUGGCAUUUCCAGUCUGCUGUCAAAGACCAAGGCUCAACCUUGGGCAGGCAGUGGAAACUGAAAAGCUAGAGUGCGGUAGGGGUAGGGGGAAUUCCCAGUGUAGCGGUGAAAUGCGUAGAGAUUGGGAAGAACACCGGUGGCGAAAGCGCCCUACUAGGCCGCAACUGACACUCAGGGACGAAAGCUAGGGUAGCGAAUGGGAUUAGAUACCCCAGUAGUCGAAUGCAAGCGUUAUCCGGAAUUAUUGGGCGUAAAGCGUCCGUAGGUGGCUAUUCCAGUCGGCGGUUAAAGACCGGGGCUUAACUCUGGAAAGGCCGUGGAAACUGAAAAGCUAGAGUGCGGUAGGGGUAGGGGGAAUUCCCGGUGUAGCGGUGAAAUGCGUAAAGAUCGGGAAGAACACCGGUGGCGAAAGCGCCCUACUGGGCCGCAACUGACACUGAGGGACGAAAGCUAGGGGAGCGAAUGGGAUUAGAUACCCCAGUAGUCAA